GUGGGGAAUCUUGCACAAUGGGCGAAAGCCUGAUGCAGCGACGCCGCGUGGGGGACGAAGGCCCUCGGGUUGUAAACCCCUUUCGGCAGGGAAGAAGCGCAAGUGACGGUACCUGCAGAAGAAGCUCCGGCUAACUACGUGCCAGCAGCCGCGGUAAGACGUAGGGAGCGAGCGUUGUCCGGAUUCAUUGGGCGUAAAGCGCGCGUAGGCGGUUUGGUAAGUCGGAUGUGAAAUCCCGAGGCUCAACCUCGGGACUGCAUCCGAUACUGCCCGACUAGAGGUAGGUAGGGGAGAUCGGAAUUCCUGGUGUAGCGGUGAAAUGCGCAGAUACCAGGAGGAACACCGGUGGCGAAGGCGGAUCUCUGGGCCUUACCUGACGCUGAGGCGCGAAAGCUAGGGGAGCGAACAGGAUUAGAUACCCGAGUAGUCC
rnacentral:rRNA from 1 species